GACGAACGCUGGCGGCGUGCUUAACACAUGCAAGUCGAACGGAAAGGCCCUGCGUUUGUGGGGUGCUCGAGUGGCGAACGGGUGAGUAACACGUGAGUAACCUGCCCUUGACUUUGGGAUAACUUCAGGAAACUGGGGCUAAUACCGGAUAGGAGCUCCUGCUGCAUGGUGGGGGUUGGAAAGUUUCGGCGGUUGGGGAUGGACUCGCGGCUUAUCAGCUUGUUGGUGGGGUAGUGGCUGACCAAGGCUUUGACGGGUAGCCGGCCUGAGAGGGUGACCGGCCACCUUGGGACUGAGAUACGGCCCAGACUCCUACGGGAGGCAGCAGUGGGGAAUAUUGCACAAUGGGCGGAAGCCUGAUGCAGCAACGCCGCGUGCGGGAUGACGGCCUUCGGGUUGUAAACCGCUUUCGCCUGUGACGAAGCGUGAGUGACGGUAAUGGGUAAAGAAGCACCGGCUAACUACGUG
rnacentral:rRNA from 1 species